CUCCCCUGGCAAUGGGCAGAGACUCCUUCUUGUUGGUGUUGUUCUUAUACCAGUCAGGGGCAGAGCAGAUGACAGUUCUUUGUUCACCCUAGCUUGAUGUAUGGCUUGAUAGCCAAAGCUGUCUUAUGCCUAGGACUCAUAA